rfam:Salmo salar isolate Sally breed double haploid chromosome ssa23, whole genome shotgun sequence.
UGCAUUCACUACUGUAAGUCGCUCUGGAUAAGAGUGUCUGCUAAAUGACUAUGA